UAUAUGAAGAGUUUGAUCCUGGCUCAGGAUGAACGCUAGCGGUGCGCCUAACACAUGCAAGUCGAGCGAUAUAGCGGCGAACGGGUGAGUAACACGUUGGAACCUGCCCCGAACUCAGGGAUAGCCACCCGAAAGGGUGAUUAAUACCGGAUAGUCCCCCGUAUCUCACUGUGUUCGAAAAUACCAAAUUUCAAAUUCCAAAUCCCAAACAAAAUCCAAAUUUCAAUAUUCAAAUUCCAAAUCAUUAUUUGAUCAUUGUAACUUGGACAUUGAAAAUUGUUUGGAAUUUGGUGCUUGUUUAUUGGAAUUUUUCGAGCGUAGCGAGAUGCGGUGGGUAAAGAUUUUUCGGUUCGGGAGGGGCCUGCGGCCUAUCAGCUUGUUGGUAGUGUAAUAGACUACCAAGGCUAUGACGGGUAACUGGUGUGAGAGCAUGACCAGUCACAAUGGAACUGAGACACGGUCCAUACUCCUACGGGAGGCAGCAGUGAGGAAUCUUCCGCAAUGGGCGAAAGCCUGACGGAGCGACACCGCGUGGAGGAAGAAGGCCUUUUGGUUGUAAACUCCUUUUCUGAGGGAAUAAAUGAUGAAGGUACCUCAGGAAUAAGCACCGGCUAAUUACGUGCCAGCAGCCGCGGUAAUACGUAAGGUGCAAGCGUUAUCCGGAAUUAUUGGGCGUAAAGCGUUCGUAGGUGGUUUGAAAAGUUUGUAGUUAAAUCUGGUCGCUCAACGAUCAACUCGCUACGAAAACUCUCAAACUAGAGAAUAGCAGGGGCAACUGGAAUUCCACAUGUAGGGGUAAAAUCCGUUGAUAUGUGGAGGAACACCAAAAGCGAAGGCAGGUUGCUGGGCUAUUUCUGACACUGAGGAACGAAAGCGUGGGGAGCAAACAGGAUUAGAUACCCUGGUAGUCCACGCCGUAAACGAUGGAUACUCGAUGUAGGGAGGAAUCGACCCCUCUUUGUGUCUAAGCUAACGCGUUAAGUAUCCCGCCUGGGGAGUACGGUCGCAAGAUUAAAACU
rnacentral:rRNA from 1 species